rnacentral:rRNA from 1 species
UACGUAGGGUGCUAGCGUUGUUCGGAAUCAUUGGGCGUAAAGCGCGUGUAGGUGGCUAUGUAAGUCGAAUGUGAAAUCCCUGGGCUCAACCGAGGAAGUGCAUUCGAAACUACAUAGCUCGAGGACGGUAGAGGAAGGUGGAAUUCCUAAAGUAGAGGUGAAAUUCGUAGAUAUUAGGAGGAAUACCGGCGGCGAAGGCGGCCUUCUGGGCCGUUCCUGACACUGAGACGCGAAAGCGUGGGUAGCAAACAGG